GACAGAGGGCGCAAACGUUGUUCGGAAUUACUGGGCGUAAAGCGCGUGUAGGCGGCUUUGCAAGUCGGGCGUGAAAUCCCACGGCUCAACCGUGGAAGUGCACUCGAAACUGCAGAGCUAGAGUCCUGGAGAGGAAGGUGGAAUGCUUGGUGUAGAGGUGAAAUUCGUAGAUAUCAAGCGGAACACCGGUGGCGAAGGCGGCCUUCUGGACAGUGACUGACGCUGAGACGCGAAAGCGUGGGGAGCAAACAGG
rnacentral:rRNA from 1 species